rnacentral:rRNA from 1 species
UACAGAGGGCUCAAGCGUUGUUCGGAUUCACUGGGCGUAAAGGGCGCGUAGGCGGUGAGGUAAGUCGGAUGUGAAAUCCCGGGGCUCAACCCCGGAGCUGCAUUCGAUACUGCCGUGCUUGAGCACUGGAGAGGAGACUGGAAUUUACGGUGUAGCAGUGAAAUGCGUAGAUAUCGUAAGGAAGACCAGUGGCGAAGGCGAGUCUCUGGACAGUUGCUGACGCUGAGGCACGAAGGCCAGGGGAGCAAACGGG